rnacentral:lncRNA from 1 species
CACUUGUUUCAGUAUCUAUCAGUGUCACAUGUGACAUUGAAUUGUUUUCUCAUGAUCAACUAUAUUUAUCCCUUUAAGAUGAGUUUGGUAAUGGUUUAUUAUAGCAUAAUAUUAUAUCCAAGAAACUAAAGUUUACCUAAAAGUUGGUAACAAUUUUGGUUGUCACCAAUCUGGUCACAGAAAAUGGCCAAUUUAAGGUACAUAUCACACUAUUGCUAGGAGUCUAGCUGGGGUUCUCCUUACAGAUACAUAUGUUAUUUUAAUCUGCUUUUAUAAAAGAAAACAUAUUAAAUACUACUUGUGCUUCUUGGGAACAAAGAUUGAAUUAUACUUUUAUUUAUUUAAUGGACUUUCUGUUUUAGUGUGUCAUGUAAGCCAUUUAUGUCAGGAAAAACAAAAAAUUAAGUAUUUUGAUAUAGUUAUAUAUUCUCAAUUUUUAAAAAUAACUGGAUAGAUGUCAUUAUUUUCAAUUACUUACCUUUUGUCUUGUUAUUUUGUUUAAUUAUUUAAGAUACAUUUUGCACGCACACACGCGCGUUUGUGUGUGUGUGUGUGUGUGUGUGUGUGUGUGUGUGUGUGUUUGAUACUAAUGCACAUGUGGCCUCAUAGGACAACUUUGUAGAGUCAGUUCUCUCUUUCCACCCUUCACACUCAGGCUAUCAGGCCUAUGCAACAAAUACUUUUAUCCAUUGAGCCAUUUCCCUGGCCCUUCCUAACUUUUAAUAUGGCAGUGCCAUUUCCUGUUAAAUUAAUUUCUUUCAUAAAAAUGCUCUUUAAUUUAUCUCUAUUAUUUUCAUUGUCAUUAGUUUUUUAUUGUCCUUUAAAAAAUGUUUCCUCAUAUCUGGGAUUACACUAAAAGCUUUUUUAUCUGGUGAGUUGAAAUCACUCAUUUGUUUUCUACUUCCAUAGAUUUUAAUAAAUGAAUUUAGUGUUUUCAGAUUUAUAUGCCUUAUUCUCUAUUUUUCAGACAUUCUGGUGUGGUUUACUAUUCAAUACAAGGAAUUCUGUUAUUUUCUAGAGUUUCAUCAACACAAGUGUUACAAGCAUACUGUUGUUUUCAUUCUACUGUUGAUUUUAGAUUUCUACAUUUCAGAUGUUGCAUUUUUGUUUUUCUCUCAUUUUCACAUAGAAAUCCUGCCUGAUACGGAACAAUAUCCAGUAAAGAGAAUAAUUUAUACAAAGCAUAAAAUUUUGAAAUGAGCAAACAGAUUAAUUUAACUGGAGAGUCCAUAUAAGACAGUAAUGAGAAAACCAUACCAUAAUCUCAAUGGAUGCUGAAAAUGCAUUGGACAGACUCCAACAGCAAAGACCUAAGUAAAAAUGGAUGGCUACUUUCUUAUCACAAUCAGAAGCAUCUGUGAUGUCGGAGGGUGUAUUUGAUGAUGAAACAUGCUGGGAAUUCUAAUAAAAAUGAGCCACAAAACUCA